rnacentral:rRNA from 1 species
UACGUAGGGGGCAAGCGUUGUCCGGAUUUAUUGGGCGUAAAGAGCGUGUAGGCGGUUUGGUAGGUCCGUUGUGAAAACUCGAGGCUCAACCUCGAGACGCCGAUGGAAACCAUCAGACUAGAGUCCGGAAGAGGAGAGUGGAAUUCCUGGUGUAGCGGUGAAAUACGCAGAUAUCAGGAAGAACACCCGUGGCUAAGGCGGCUCUCUAGUACGGUACUGACGCUGAGACGCGAAAGCGUGGGGAGCGAACAGG